CAACACUCUGUGGCAUUCCCAUUUUACAUUUGGGAAUCUUUGUAUCAUCCCCAUUUCACAGAUGGUAAAACCUAAGGCUGAAAGAUGUGAGGAAACCGAAACUCUGAGAGGUCGCCUAAGUGGGGGGGAUGAAAACCAGCGCUCUGACCACAUCCUGGCCUUCGUCACCAUGGGAUUCCGAGGGACAAGCCCAGGGGAGUUGCAGCAUCCUCUGUCUACCCUAUGUACGUGACCCCCCUUUGCGGUUUUUAAACCCCACUGCUUGCUGACAGAUUUGUCACCUGUUAUAAGGGCAGAAUCCAUUAUUAUUAUCAAUAGUAGUGAUGGAUACUUAAAUAAUAAAUGCACUAAUCUCAUUAAGCCA
ensembl:lncRNA novel transcript